GAUGAACGCUGGCGGCGUGCCUAAUACAUGCAAGUCGAGCGAACAGAUAAGGAGCUUGCUCCUUUGACGUUAGCGGCGGACGGGUGAGUAACACGUGGGUAACCUACCUAUAAGACUGGGAUAACUUCGGGAAACCGGAGCUAAUACCGGAUAACAUUUGGAACCGCAUGGUUCUAAAGUGAAAGAUGGUUUUGCUAUCACUUAUAGAUGGACCCGCGCCGUAUUAGCUAGUUGGUAAGGUAACGGCUUACCAAGGCGACGAUACGUAGCCGACCUGAGAGGGUGAUCGGCCACACGGGAACUGGGACACGGUCCAGACUCCUACGGGAGGCAGCAGUAGGGAAUCUUCCGCAAUGGGCGAAAGCCUGACGGAGCAACGCCACGUGAGAGAUGAAGGGGUUCGGCUCGUAAAACUCUGUUAUUAGGGAAAAACAAAUGUGUAAGUAACUGUGCACGUCUUGACGGUACCUAAUCAGAAAGCCACGGCUAACUACGUG
rnacentral:rRNA from 1 species